AAUCCAAACAAUAUUCAUCUAGACUAUCCAUAGUAUAUGCACAUGUUAAAGACAAGAAAUCGACUUCAGAGGGAAAAAGUUGAAAGAUUAAGUUUGUAAUAUACGGGCCAAGUAUUAGUGGUGGAUUAGAGCGCAAAACAACAUGAAAGUUCCGUACAAACUGAUAUCCUAAAUUAACUUUAAAUCCAGAAUGCAUACACCACACACAAAAAAAAAAACAAUUCAGUUUUAGUUAAAACAUAUGACAAAUCAUUUCGACUAAAAAAACUUAAAGCUAAAAAUUGAUGAAUAUAUCUCAAAGUGAGUUCAUGCACCAAUAAGUCCUUAGAGGUCUUU
rnacentral:lncRNA from 1 species